rnacentral:lncRNA from 1 species
ACUUAAAGCCAUGCCUCCAUUCCUGUAUUUUCCAUUAGUCUUGUCUGUUUGGUUCCAGUGGUCAGCCCCUCAGCCCUGCAAAAGUUAGAAAGGAGUGGGGAGAAGAAAUGGUGCAGGUGGCAACAUCUUAGAGACCUCUAAAGUGGAUCCACAGCCUAGGUGGAGCAUCCUGUUCUACUAAAGGUGUUAGAAACACUUCUAUCCCAUCUCUGUGUCUUUGGGUUGAGCCCAGAAAACUUCAGUGACUUCUGGAAGAGAUGAGAUGAUGAAACUGUACCUGAACAGCAACAUGAAUUCGUAACUUGCUGGCAGCAUGGGCUGUGUUAUAUGUGGUCUGCCUGUUCCUGCUUUACUCAGAGAGUACCAACAGCAAGCCUCAAAUGGCUGCAGAAGUCAGAUUGUGAGAGCUGUCCUGUGGAAGUGUCAUUCUUCUUCCCUAGAUGUUAAUCUCACUAGGGCAAAGGCCAGAUUAUCAACAGAAAAUCUCAGUGUAUGAAAGAUUAGAUUGACUGGGACAGCUCUGGCCUAGCACAGUUUUGCUUAUGGUGCAUACUCUGCUGUCCAAAUGUGUGUGUUAUGUUAUCAGCCUUCCUGCUGAGACCCUUGUUGGAUACAUUUUGCUUGUGUGUCAAAGCCUAACUCAGGAUUGCGCUUCAGCUCAUGCGCAAUGAAAUGCAGGCAGUGCCACAUUUCUUCAAUACUGGAUUUACUUGCUUUAUUGGGAGUCAGGGAGAUUUGAGAAAUUGAGGUAAUACACUACAAAGCAUGUAUUAUUCAGCCAAUAUUUCUGCUUUUCCUAUUUGUGCUUUUUCAGAGAUCCAUAAAACCUGCCCAAUAUUUGCAGUGAGCCAAUGGGUUAUUGAUUCAAAUUCUUCAACUUAUUUUUGCAGAAAUUUCUAAGCAACGCUGAAGUUUUAUUGAGGAAGCUUUUACCAAAAAUAGACUGUGGUUUGCACACCGCUUGUGAACAUUUACUGAAAGUUUGUAUUGCAGCAGGUGACAAAAUAAAACAUGUGAUAUGGUUCCUGUCUUCUGUCA